rnacentral:lncRNA from 1 species
AAGCGAUCCAACUGCCUCAGCCUCCCGAGUCACUGGGAUUACAGGCAUGAAGACAUUGUUUUCAAGGGAUCACUCUGCUUUGUGGAGACUAGACUGUGAGGAGCAAGCCUCGAAAGGGGAGAGCUGUUUCGAGGUUCUCCACUGCAGCCUGCUCCACAGCCACGCCCUCCCAUCCAUGGCUACACACUCACAUUCUGGGCCUCUUCCCUGGACCAGAUUGCACAGCAGGGCCGCUCUCUCCAGUGCCUCCAGCUGGCCCCUGCUGACAAGUCCGUGUUGUGUCAUGUUGGGAGUCUGGGCAAGGCACGAGGGCCCCUCUCUAGCAGGUCCCGAUGGCUCCUCCACACCUUCAGGAAAAGCAAGAGAUAAACCAUUGCAUGCUGAGCUCUGCAGGGAACUGGAGGCGGACACCAUCCAUUCUGCAAACCUGCAAUGGUGACACUUCUGGAAUCUCCUUGCCUCUUCCAGGGCUGCAGCCUCU